GACGAACGCUGGCGGCGUGCUUAACACAUGCCAGUCGAACGGAAAGGCCCUGCUUUUGUGUGGUGCUCGAGUGGCGAACGGGUGAGUAUCACGUGAGUAACCUGCCCUUGACUUUGGGAUAACUUCAGGAAACUGGGGCUAUUACCGGAUAGGAGCUCCUGCUGCAUGGUGGGGGUUGGAAAGUUUCGGCGGUUGGGGAUGGACUCGCGGCUUAUCAGCUUGUUGGGGGGGUAGUUGCUUACAAGGGCUUUGACGGGUAGCCGGCCUGAGAGGGUGACCGGCCACAUUGGGACUGAGAGACGGCGCAGACUCCUACGGGAGGCAGCAGUGGGGAAUAUUGCACAGUGGGCGGAAGCGUGAUGCAGCAACGCCGCGUGCGGGAUGACGGCCUUCGGGUUGUAAACCGCUGUGGCCUGUGACGAAGCGUGAGUGACGGUAAUGGGUAAAGAAGCACCGGCUAACUACGUG
rnacentral:rRNA from 1 species